rnacentral:rRNA from 1 species
GACGAACCGUACGAACGUUAUUCGGAAUCACUGGGCGUAAAGGGUGCGUAGGCGGGUCUUUAAGUCAGGGGUGAAAUCCUGGAGCUCAACUCCAGAACUGCCUUUGAUACUGAGGAUCUUGAGUUCGGGAGAGGUGAGUGGAACUGCGAGUGUAGAGGUGAAAUUCGUAGAUAUUCGCAAGAACACCAGUGGCGAAGGCGGCUCACUGGCCCGAUACUGACGCUGAUGCACGAAAGCGUGGGGAGCAAACAGG